AGAGCGAACGCUGGCGGCAGGCCUAACACAUGCAAGUCGAACGAACUCUUCGGAGUUAGUGGCGGACGGGUGAGUAACACGUGGGAACGUGCCUUUUGGUUCGGAAUAGCUCCUGGAAACGGGUGGUAAUGCCGAAUGUGCCCUUCGGGGGAAAGAUUUAUCGCCAUUAGAGCGGCCCGCGUCUGAUUAGCUAGUUGGUGAGGUAAAGGCUCACCAAGGCUACGAUCAGUAGCUGGUCUGAGAGGAUGACCAGCCACAUUGGGACUGAGACACGGCCCAAACUCCUACGGGAGGCAGCAGUGGGGAAUCUUGCGCAAUGGGCGAAAGCCUGACGCAGCCAUGCCGCGUGAAUGAUGAAGGUCUUAGGAUUAGUAAAAUUCUUCAGUAGGACGAUAAUGACGGUACUACAGAAGAACGCCCGGCUAACUUCGUGCCAGCAGCCGC
rnacentral:rRNA from 1 species